CCUACGGGUGGCAGCAGUGAGGAAUAUUGGUCAAUGGGCGGAAGCCUGAACCAGCCAAGUAGCGUGCAGGAUGACGGCCCUACGGGUUGUAAACUGCUUUUAUACGGGAAUAACGCGCCUUACGUGUAGGGCUUUGCAUGUAUCGUAUGAAUAAGGGCCGGCUAAUUCCGUGCCAGCAGCAGCGGUAAUACGGAAGGUACGGGCGUUAUCCGGAUUUAUUGGGUGUAGAGGGAGCGUAGGCCGCAUGUCAUGCGUGCUGUGAAAUGUCCGGGCUCAACCCGGGCCAUGCAGUGCAAACUGGCGUGCUUGAGUCCGCGGAAGGCAGGCGGAAUUCGUCGUGUAGCGGUGAAAUGUUUAGAUAUGACGAAGAACCCCGAUUGCGAAGGCAGCUUGCUGCAGCGGAACUGACGCUGAUGCUCGAAAGCGCGGGUAUCGAACAGGAUUAGAUACCCUUGUAGUC
rnacentral:rRNA from 1 species